rnacentral:lncRNA from 1 species
ACCAUACGGUCAGUGGCUUGGCUGUGGAUUAUCUCUCUGAGCUCCCCUGUUCGAUAAAUAAGAUCACCUACGACUGUGGCGGCUGCACGAUCAACUACCUGCUUGAUAGCAACUUCAGUAAUACCUCUCCUCUCAUAUAUUUGUGUUUGAUUUCUACUUUUCAGUCAAUAAGGUUGUGGCUACACGAUCAACUACCUGCUUGAUAGCAACUUCAGUCUCAUGUAUUUGUGUUCGAUUUCUACUUUUCAGUCGAUAAGGCCGUGCUCAUGUAUUUGAUUUCCUUUUUACUUCAUUUAAAUUGUUUCAAUGUAUGGUUGUUGAAUCAUUUGGUCCUUGCAGUCAACAGGCUUAAGACUAUUGUUCCAUUUUUUAUGACCAUCGUAUGAGAUCGGUCUACACUUCUAUUAAUUUGAUUUUGUUUCUCUCGUCUCUUUCCUUUGUGGCCCUCUUUUGGUUUAUUAACAUAUAUAAUUAGAAUCUCAUUGGUUAUUACCAGUUGCUUUCUUGAUAGCCAAGCUUGUCUAGUCGCACAUGUCUUUUUACUUUACGAUGCAUGUAUGCAUAUAGCUGAACUAACUACACCAUUUGGGUGC